CGGUGUGGGUGGGUGCAUGA
rnacentral:miRNA from 1 species